ensembl:misc_RNA Y_RNA Y RNA
CGCCGAUCUGAAGGUAAUGAGUUGUCUCAAUGAUUGAUCACAGUCAGCCAUAGAUCGAACUCCUUGUUCUGCUCUUUCCUCCCUUCUCACUACUGCACUUGACUAGUCUUUA